CCUAAUUCUAAAAUCACAUUGCAUCCCUCACUCACUCUCCUUACUGCCGACAGCCACUUUCCUCACUCACAUUCUUCCCUUACUCAUGACCGACAUCCCUCUCCCUUACUCUAACUCACUUGUGCUCUCUCUCCCCCUUCUCCUCUCCUCCCUGCUCUCUCUCUCUCGCUCGCUCUCAUAUGGUCUCUCUCGCUCGGUCUCUCUCGGUCUCUCUCGCUCUCUCUCUCUCGCUCGGUCUCUCUCGCUCUCUCUCUCUCGCUCGGUCUCUCUCGCUCGCUCCUUCGCUUUCUCUCUUGGAUUUCUAUUGCUUCUCUCUCCUUAACUCUGUUUUACAAAGUGCAUCAGGCAUGUACAGAAAUCUGAAUUCAUUAGCAUUGGGAUUGGCAAAGAAAGGUGGUUUUCUCAUGAAUUGUUCUUGUUCAGGAGCUGUGACCCAAAGUGGUGUAUUCUUGCGCAUUCUCCAGGUUAGACUGGAUCCUUCUAGGCCCUUAAGUAAGCGGAGGCAUGGGGUUGUUGCUGAAAUUCUGAAGAAAGCACGUAUUUAUGUGCCACCAUCAGCUGAUAGCUCUGUGGGUUUAGAUGGCAAAACUGAAGCACAAACUUUUGCAGCCUCUUGAACUUAGAUCAAAAUCAAUGUGCCUUAUGGGUUUGUUUUUUCAAUUUCUUCUAGCUUUAUUUUGGAAACGAUGAAUUGUGAGAAUGUAUAAGCUCGUGGUCGUAGGCUUCACAAUGUUGAAAGUUGCAUCACUAAAUGUAUAACCUAUACUAUUUUAUGGGCUUUUUUAUAUUUUAUCUCAUGCGUCUUUUUCUAGUCUUAUUUAAAUAAUAAGGAAAAUUUUGGGAAAAUAUGGUAACAGCAGCUGGUACGCUCACCAUCUUACUGUGAUUCGUGUUGGCUAGCUUGGUUGUGCUUCCUGUUUCAUAAAUAAAGUGAUUUAGCUGUUCAGCAUUAUAUCUUUGGAUCCAAUGAUGUAUUAGUAUGUGGAGUUUGAGGUGUCUUACCAUAUUGCAUUUUGAUUCUUGUUUUACGAUACUACUUUUAUUAUUAGUAGUAGUAGUAUUAUUAAUUUUUCAUUAUCUUCUUUUAUAUUCAAAUAUAUUUUAAUAUUUUGGGUAGAACCUUAUGCCAUUUGCAAUCAUGGGUGGCAUGGAACAAGUUUCAGGACUUCUCAACUGAUGUGAUAUGGUGAUUUGCAUCUGGAGAAUGUAUACUAUUCAGAAAUGAAAGAUACUGGUUUCUUUGAUGCUGAUUGGGAGUAAUGCAGUGAUAUUUUAGCCGGAUGACUCUGUAUAUUAAAGUAACUUCCAGAUGGCAAAAAUUUAUGUACUUGAAGAGAUGCUUGUUUGUUGCUUGCUGGACUCGUUCUUUUACAAUAGAUGUAGUGUGCCUUUGGCACUUGGAACGCUUUAUUGUGUACCAAUUAGAAACUGGUUAGACCGCAUUAAAAAAUAUAACUCUGUAUAAUACAUAAUAAGGGAAGCAUAAAGGUAUAUUUUAUGAUAUGAAUUUGAUACUA